rnacentral:rRNA from 1 species
AUUGAACGCUGGCGGCAGGCCUAACACAUGCAAGUCGAGCGAGCGGCGGACGGGUGAGUAAUGUAUGGGGACUGCCCGAUAGAGGGGGAUAAAUACUGGAAACGGUGGCUAAUACCGCAUACUAUCGGAUAACCCAUAUGGGAUUAGCUAGUAGGUGGGGUAAAGGCUCACCUAGGCGACGAUCUCUAGCUGGUCUGAGAGGAUGAUCAGCCACCCUGUGACUUAGACACGGCCCAGACUCCUACGGAGUCAGCAGUGGGGAAUAUUUCACAAUGGGCGCCAGCCUGAUUCAGCCAGCCCGCGUGGAUGAAGAAGGCCUUAGGGUUGUAAAGGACUUUCAGCGGGGAGGCGUUACCCGCAGAAGAAGCACCGGGUAACUCCGGGCCAGCCGCCGCGGUAAUAC